rnacentral:tRNA from 1 species
GGCUGUGUGGUCUAGUGGGUAGGGCAUUUGCUGGAGAAACAAGAGACCUGGGUUCCAUUCCCAGCUCUAUCA